rnacentral:misc_RNA from 1 species
GGGWGAAGUCGUAACAAGGUAGCCGUAUCGGAAGGUGCGGCUGGAUCACCUCCUUUCUAUGGAGUCUCGUUCAUCAUUCGUGAUGAAUUUAGAGGAUUACCAACCUGUGACUUCGCAAUCUUUACUGUGCACGCUUUUUAUUUAUCUCUGAUUUUAAAACUGAGUUUGGGCCUGUAGCUCAGACGGUUAGAGCACUGUGCUGAUAACGCANGGGUCAGUGGUUCGACUCCACUCAGGCCCACUGCGAUAAACUCAUCAAAAAAUUGUUAAGCAAUUUUUGGGGCUGUAGCUCAGUUGGGAGAGCGUCGGUUUUGCAAGCCGAAGGUCGUCGGUUCGAUCCCGAUCAGCUCCAUAACGCAAUAAAGUUCUUUGAAAACUGUGUAGUAUGACGAGCCAUUAACCAUCUACUGUGGAAGUAGAUUUUUGGUUAAGUUACUAAGAAGCAUACCGGCGGGAUGCCCUUGGCCGAGAANGCGAUGAAAGNACCGUGCUAAAAGGGCGAAAUUCCACUCCCACUGGCCGGNCNUUACUAGUGGGGAUCCAGCU